ensembl:snRNA U6 U6 spliceosomal RNA
GUGCUCGCUUUGGCAGCACAUAUACUAAAAUUGGAAUGAUACAGAAAAGAUUAGCAUGUCCCUGUGCAAGGAUGACAUGCAAAUUCAUGAAGUGUUCCAUAUUAAA